GACGAACGCUGGCGGCGUGCUUAACACAUGCAAGUCGAACGGAAAGGCCCUUCUUUUGUGGGGUGCUCGAGUGGCGAACGGGUGAGUAACACGUGAGUAACCUUCCCUUUACUUUUGGAUAUCUUCAGGAAACUGGGGCUAAUACCGGAUAUGAGCUCCUGCUGCAUGGUGGGGGUUGGAAAGUUUCGGCGGUUGGGGAUGGACUCGCGGCUUAUCAGCUUGUUGGUGGGGUUGUGGCUUACCAAGGCUUUGACGGGUAGCCGGCCUGAGAGGGUGACCGGCCACAUUGGGACUGAGAUACGGCCCAGACUCCUACGGGAGGCAGCAGUGGGGAAUAUUGCACAAUGGGCGGAAGCCUGAUGCAGCAACGCCGCGUGCGGGAUGACGGCCUUCGGGUUGUAAACCGCUUUCGCCUGUGACGAAGCGUGAGUGACGGUAAUGGGUAAAGAAGCACCGGCUAACUACGUG
rnacentral:rRNA from 1 species